rnacentral:rRNA from 1 species
AACGAACGCUGGCGGCAGGCCUAACACAUGCAAGUCGAGCGCCCCGCAAGGGGAGCGGCAGACGGGUGAGUAACACGUGGGAACGUGCCCGAAGGUACGGAACGACCCAGGGAAACUUGGGCUAAUACCGGAUACGUCCGUAAGGAGAAAGAUUUAUCGCUGAAGGAUCGGCCCGCGUCUGAUUAGCUAGUUGGUGGGGUAAUGGCCCACCAAGGCUACGAUCAGUAGCUGGUCUGAGAGGAUGAUCAGCCACAUUGGGACUGAGACACGGCCCAAACUCCUACGGGAGGCAGCAGUGGGGAAUAUUGGACAAUGGGGGCAACCCUGAUCCAGCCAUGCCGCGUGAGUGAUGAAGGCCCUAGGGUUGUAAAGCUCUUUUAGCAGGGAAGAUAAUGACGGUACCUGCAGAAAAAGCCCCGGCUAACUUCGUGCCAGCAGCCGCCGCGGUAA